rnacentral:lncRNA from 1 species
CACGAUCGUUUUGUACUAAGUGUAAGCUUCCAAAAUUCGAAUUGAAAAAUAAAUUGAGCUACAUAUUCAAUUCAAAACAAUAGAUUUGCAAUGUCUUGCGGAAAUGUCCGAGUUAAACGUUCAUGCCUUCAUAAAACUUUUACGGCCAAAAAAAACAGAGAUUUGAUUUCGUGAAGAUUAUUUUUCGGCUUUGAUAACUAUACCAAUAAAAAGUACUUUUAAAGUUGAAGUUGGUACACCAAAUAGCAUUAAGAUUACAGGGUUAUCUAUAAAAAAUACGGAUUAAUGAAAAUGUCUUGCAAGUUUGUCCGUUAUCAUAAUUUGACGUCGCCAGAAGCGUUAUGCUAGCUAGGGACGGCAUGAACUGCAUUCGCGUGUUCCUUCCUCCACUAAAUAUAAAUGUCCUGCUUUCAACAAAACGAAAUGAUGCACACAUUACAAAAAUACACAUCUAUAAGACGAUCAAAAAGUAAGAAAACUUCAGUAUCAUAACUAUAAGCUAUUGUAUGUCACUGCUUGAAUAAAAUCAUACUCGGGUUGAAUAUAUAAUGCAGCAAUAUUCCUCCAAAAACACAUAAUUACUAGCAGUAAAAUUGAA